CGCGUCGGAGCCACCUUGUUUUAUUAAACGUAUUAUUUGCACGUUUAAUACGUCUCUUCAACGAUGAAUUAUCUAUCAUCGAUUACGAUCUAUCUGAAAUUUGAGGGACACGUCAAUUAUUUACUUGUAAUGAAAUUUUACUGCUGUUCAUGUCUGGCCGCUUUGUAACCACUGGACGAAAAGAAUAUUUGGGAUAUGGCAAAGGGACUUUAUGAAGGGAGGCUGAAUUUGGCGAGUGAUCGGGUCAUCAGGUGGACGAUGGUAAGCUCCAUCGGAAAAUGUCCUGUGUCCUGCGAUACUGAAGCUCGGCGAGGGUCGCCGUGUGAAAAUAGCUGUGGCAAUACCGGUAAAUAAUCAACACACUUGAAGUUUGAUUUGCGCAACUAGUCGAGCAUAUACCGAGUUCGUUCCGCUGAUGGAGGAUGUGCGGAUGUGGACUGCGGUCUGUUGUCAUGCAUCAUCGCAUCUCAUGGACUAACUCCUUCACACGAUUGAUGGGGAAAACGGAUGAGGGAGAGACUACGUUUCAACUUAAAUCGUAACCAGAGAUGUGCCAGUGGCAUGCAGAGGCUCUUACGUGGGAUCAAAGAAUGCUACAGACGUACAAAAAAGAAAUUCGAAGAGUCGAAGAAUGAAGCGGUAUCGAUACGUGACCCACACACAUUGUUACGAGUGCAAGUGAGAGAGAUGUAAUACGACCGGAUAAAACGCGUAACUUCGAUAUAUUUCAAGCCAUCGGAUGCAUUGUGCAGUCUAUUCAAGAUCUUCCGCCCUUGGGAGGGAAUUUUCCAUACUGGGGUGGAAAGUACUCACUCUCUGAGGAGUUUUGUAAGUAAUAAUUUAUAAAACAAUAAUUUUUGUCGAGAGGAAAAUAUUUGAUUUUAUCUUGCGGUGAAUAUGAUCCUCCACUGAUAUGUGAGCAUUCCAAUUAUUUAAGAGAUUUUAUUUUUGUUUCAGUGCACGUGGAGCCCUCAUUUUUUCUCUCGUCAUAACGAGAACAUCGAGGAAAAGUAUCAAAUCCGUAAUCCCAUGGAAUAAGGAAAAUACCGUGAAUUGAAUUUGCCGGAAUAAAUUGGUUUUUCAGGAUCUAAAGGUAAAGUCGACAGGGGAAAAUCAUCCACUGGAUAACCGCGACGAUUUAAGGAUAUCCAAGGGUCUUUUACAAUCCGAUAGAGAUCAUAGUAUUGAUUCAAUCAUUUAUAAUUGCGACAUCUGUCAAUUAAGGGGAGACUCACCUCGGAAUAAAACAUGCGAUACACACGAAGAUUAUAUGUGAGAGAUAAAUAUUCAGGAAAAAUUACGGAAUUUUCAAUUCGCUCAUCGAUUAUCAAAUCGAUUGAGAAAAUUUACAUAACAAUAUCGUCAUUUAUUGCAGAGGAUUGCAAUUAAAAUUAGGGAACAAUUAAAAAAAAUUCUGUGACGGCUCAGUAAAAUUUCCCGUAAUCGCACCCUCUUUUAUUAAA